AUUGAACGCUGGCGGCAUGCUUUACACAUGCAAGUCGAACGGUAACAGGCCGCAAGGUGCUGACGAGUGGCGAACGGGUGAGUAAUGCAUCGGAACGUGCCCAGUCGUGGGGGAUAACGCAGCGGAAGCUGCGCUAAUACCGCAUACGAUCUAUGGAUGAAAGCGGGGGACCGUAAGGCCUCGCGCGAUUGGAGCGGCCGAUGUCAGAUUAGGUAGUUGGUGGGGUAAAGGCUCACCAAGCCAACGAUCUGUAGCUGGUCUGAGAGGACGACCAGCCACACUGGGACUGAGACACGGCCCAGACUCCUACGGGAGGCAGCAGUGGGGAAUUUUGGACAAUGGGCGCAAGCCUGAUCCAGCAAUGCCGCGUGCAGGAAGAAGGCCUUCGGGUUGUAAACUGCUUUUGUACGGAACGAAAAGGCUCUGGUUAAUACCUGGGGCUCAUGACGGUACCGUAAGAAUAAGCACCGGCUAACUACGUGCCAGCCGCCGCCGUAAAAC
rnacentral:rRNA from 1 species